GACGAACGCUGGCGGCGUGCUUAACACAUGCAAGUCGAACGGAAAGGCCCUGCUUGCAGGGUACUCGAGUGGCGAACGGGUGAGUAACACGUGGGUGAUCUGCCCUGCACUUCGGGAUAAGCCUGGGAAACUGGGUCUAAUACCGGAUAGGAGCCAUUUUUAGUGUGAUGGUUGGAAAGUUUUUUCGGUGUAGGAUGAGCUCGCGGCCUAUCAGCUGGUUGGUGGGGUAAUGGCCUACCAAGGCGGCGACGGGUAGCCGGCCUGAGAGGGUGGACGGCCACAUUGGGACUGAGAUACGGCCCAGACUCCUACGGGAGGAAGCAGUGGGGAACAGUGCACAAUGGGCGCCAGCCUGAUGCAGCGAAGCCGCGUGGGGGAUGACGGACUUCGGGUUGUAAACUCCUUUCGCUAGGGACGAAUCUUUUUGUGACGGUACCUAGAUAAGAAGCACCGGCUAACUACGUG
rnacentral:rRNA from 1 species